AGCGAACGCUGGCGGCAGGCCUAACACAUGCAAGUCGAACGAACUCUUCUGAGUUAGUGGCGGACGGGUGAGUAACACGUGGGAACGUGCCUUUUGGUUCGGAAUAACUCAGGGAAACUUGUGCUAAUACCGAAUGUGCCCUUCGGGGGAAAGAUUUAUCGCCAUUAGAGCGGCCCGCGUCUGAUUAGCUAGUUGGUGAGGUAACGGCACACCAAGGCGACGAUCAGUAGCUGGUCUGAGAGGAUGACCAGCCACACUGGGACUGAGACACGGCCCAGACUCCUACGGGAGGCAGCAGUGGGGAAUCUUGCGCAAUGGGCGAAAGCCUGACGCAGCCAUGCCGCGUGAAUGAUGAAGGUCUUAGGAUUGUAAAAUUCUUUCACCGGGGACGAUACUGACGGUACCCGGAGAAGAAGCCCCGGCUAACUUCGUG
rnacentral:rRNA from 1 species